rnacentral:rRNA from 1 species
UACGUAGGAGACGAGCGUUUGUCCGGAGUUACUGGGCGUAAAGGGUGCGCAGGCGGCCCUGCGCGUCGCGAGUGAAAUCUCCCGGCUCAACUGGGAGGGUGGUCGCGAGACGGCAGGGCUUGAGGCUCGGUGAGGGGCGUGGAAUCCGGGUGGAGCGGUGAAAUGCGUAGAGAUCCGGAGGAACACCAACGGCGUAGGCAGCGCCCUAGGACGAGACCUGACGCUCAGGCACGAAAGCGCGGGGAGCGAACAGG